ACUGCGGUUCUGAGCGCGCUGUCCGCGCCCACCUGACAGCUGCUCGCGACGUUGUGUUAGCC
rnacentral:sRNA from 1 species